rnacentral:rRNA from 1 species
UAGCCAGCUGGCGGGGUAACGGCCCACCAGGGCGACGAUCGGUAGCCGGCCUGAGAGGGCGGACGGCCACAUUGGGACUGAGACACGGCCCAGACUCCUACGGGAGGCAGCAGUGGGGGAUAUUGCACAAUGGGGGAAACCCUGAUGCAGCGACGCCGCGUGGGUGAAGAAGUAUUUCGGUAUGUAAAGCCCUAUCGACGGGGACGAUAAUGACGGUACCCGAGUAAGAAGCCACGGCUAACUACGUGCCAGCAGCCGCGGUAAUACGUAGGUGGCGAGCGUUGUCCGGAAUUAUUGGGCGUAAAGGGAGCGCAGGUGGGAGAGUAAGUCAGUCUUAAAAGUGCGGGGCUCAACCCCGUGAUGGGAUUGAAACUAUUUUUCUUGAGUGCAGGAGAGGAAAGCGGAAUUCCUAGUGUAGCAGUGAAAUGCGUAGAUAUUAGGAGGAACACCAGUGGCGAAGGCGGCUUUCUGGACUGUAACUGACACUGAGGCUCGAAAGCGUGGGGAGCGAACAGGAUUAGAUACCCUGGUAGUCCAGAAUUCGGCUUAGAGUUUGAUCCUGGCUCAGGAUUAGAUACCCUGGUAGU